ACGUAGUUCCCCGAGAGGUCCUCAGAGUGUAUAAAAGGACCAGUGAUGUAUCUGGAGCUCAAUCAAGAGGGUGAGGUUUACAAAUUGUAAUUUUCCUGCAAACCAAUCAAUGACUACUUCUUGGACAUCCAUAUCGAUAUCCUAAAUGUAUUAUAGACAAAAUUACCCUAUAUUAUUAUCACUACUUUUCGGUAAUGCUGAUAAUGAUAAAUAUCACGAUUAUAAUUUGUAUAUUAUUUUAUUAUCUAUAGGUAAUAUUUAUGACUUUUUUAAUCACAGCUAGAAAAUUUUAGGAAAGUGACAAUCAAUCCAUCUCACCUCUUAAAAUACGUCACUAGAGGGGUCCUGUCAGGGGAAGGAGGAGUU